rnacentral:rRNA from 1 species
AACGAACGCUGGCGGCAUGCCUAACACAUGCAAGUCGAACGAGACCUUCGGGUCUAGUGGCGCACGGGUGCGUAACGCGUGGGAACCUGCCCUUAGGUUCGGAAUAACUCCCCGAAUGGGGUGCUAAUACCGGCUAAUAUCUUCGGACCAAAGUUUUAUCGCCUUUGGAUGGGCGCGCGUUGGAUUAGCUAGUUGGUAGCGUAAACGCCUACCAAGGCGACGAUCCAUAACUGGUCUGUGAGGAUGAUCAGCGACACUGGGACUGAGACACGGCCGAGACUCCUACGGGAGGGAGCAGUGGGGAAUAUUGGAAAGCGGGCGAAAGCAUGAACCAGCAAUGCCGGGUGAGUGAUGAAGGUCGUAGGGAUGUAAAGCUCGUUUACCCGGGAUGAUAUUGACAUUACCGGGAGAAUAAGCUCCGGCUAACUCCGUG